rnacentral:rRNA from 1 species
CAGUCGCCACGGGAAUACGUAGGUGGCAAGCGUUGUCCGGAAUUAUUGGGCGUAAAGGGCUCGCAGGCGGUUUCUUAAGUCUGAUGUGAAAGCCCCCGGCUCAACCGGGGAGGGUCAUUGGAAACCGGGAAACUUGAGUGCAGAAGAGGAGAGUGGAAUUCCACGUGUAGCGGUGAAAUGCGUAGAGAUGUGGAGGAACACCAGUGGCGAAGGCGACUCUCUGGUCUGUAACUGACGCUGAGGAGCGAAAGCGUGGGGAGCGAACAGGAUUAGAUACCCCCGUAGUCCCUGUCUCUUAUAC